rnacentral:lncRNA from 1 species
CCGUGUCUGCCUCCUUAAGUGGUGUCUUAGGGGAUCGUUAAUAUUCUCCCCCAACACUAAAUGUGUCAUUUAGUACCAACUACCGACCGGUACUAAAUGGUUUUGCACCAAAAAAUAAGGAAAAAAAUAAAUGAACAGCUAGGAGGUCCCCGCACACACGCAUCAUCACAAGUAAUAUGCGCAUAUGCGGUCCGUGGGAUUCAAACCCACGACCUCAAGCCUCG